GGCGAGUUACGAUUUGAUGCAAGGUUAAGCAGUAAAUGUGGAGCCGUAGCGAAAGCGAGUCUGAAUAGGGCGUUUAGUAUUUGGUCGUAGACCCGAAACCAGGUGAUCUACCCUUGGUCAGGUUGAAGUUCAGGUAACACUGAAUGGAGGACCGAACCGACUUACGUUGAAAAGUGAGCGGAUGAACUGAGGGUAGCGGAGAAAUUCCAAUCGAACCUGGAGAUAGCUGGUUCUCUCCGAAAUAGCUUUAGGGCUAGCCUCAAGUGAUGAUUAUUGGAGGUAGAGCACUGUUUGGACGAGGGGCCCCUCUCGGGUUACCGAAUUCAGACAAACUCCGAAUGCCAAUUAAUUUAACUUGGGAGUCAGAACAUGGGUGAUAAGGUCCGUGUUCGAAAGGGAAACAGCCCAGACCACCAGCUAAGGUCCCAAAAUAUAUGUUAAGUGGAAAAGGAUGUGGCGUUGCCCAGACAACUAGGAUGUUGGCUUAGAAGCAGCCAUCAUUUAAAGAGUGCGUAAUAGCUCACUAGUCG
rnacentral:rRNA from 1 species